rnacentral:rRNA from 1 species
GACAGAGGGUGCGAGCGUUGUUCGGAAUUAUUGGGCGUAAAGGGCGCGUAGGCGGCGACUAAAGUCAGAUGUGAAAGCUCUGGGCUCAACCCAGAAAGUGCAUCUGAUACUGAGUUGCUUGAGUGCUGGAGAGGGUGGUGGAAUUCCUGGUGUAGAGGUGAAAUUCGUAGAUAUCAGGAGGAACACCGGUGGCGAAGGCGACCACCUGGACAGACACUGACGCUGAGGCGCGAAAGCGUGGGGAGCAAACAGG